rnacentral:tmRNA from 1 species
GGGGGUGACGAGGAUUCGACAGAGAUAAGAGGGUCAGAAUUGCACACCAAGGUCCGGGUCCCUUGCAAAACCACCCGGGAAAAAUUAAGCGCCAACGAAGCGUUGCCUUUAGCUGCUUAAAGCAGCUAACGCCUGGUCACUUUUUUCCCUGGAAAGUGACUGAGGUGUGAGAAAACAGGGAUAGCCUUACUCUUAGCAAAGGAGAGUAAGGUGAAAAAACAAACUUUGCUAACCCGUUUUCUAUCCUGCCUGUCGGAGAGAAGGCGGGGAAAUUAAAAGACAGGCUAAGUGUGUAGAUAUUCUGGUUUUCUUGUCUCUGGACGAGGGUUCGAUUCCCUCCACCUCCACCA